UCGGGAUAGCUCAGCUGGUAGAGCAGAGGAC
rnacentral:tRNA from 3 species